rnacentral:rRNA from 1 species
AGUGAACGCUGGCGGUAGGCCUAACACAUGCAAGUCGAACGGCAGCACAGUAAGAGCUUGCUCUUACGGGUGGCGAGUGGCGGACGGGUGAGGAAUACAUCGGAAUCUACUUUUUCGUGGGGGAUAACGUAGGGAAACUUACGCUAAUACCGCAUACGACCUACGGGUGAAAGCAGGGGAUCUUCGGACCUUGCGCGAUUGAAUGAGCCGAUGUCGGAUUAGCUAGUUGGCGGGGUAAAGGCCCAUCAAGGCGACGAUCCGUAGCUGGUCUGAGAGGAUGAUCAGCCACACUGGAACUGAGACACGGUCCAGACUCCUACGGGAGGCAGCAGUGGGGAAUAUUGGACAAUGGGCGCAAGCCUGAUCCAGCCAUACCGCGUGGGUGAAGAAGGCCUUCGGGUUGUAAAGCCCUUUUGUCGGGAAAGAAAAGCAGCAGGUUAAUACCCCGCUGUUCUGACGGUACCCAAAGAAUAAGCACCGGCUAACUUCGUG